GGGCGAGUGGCGGAAUUGGUAUACGCGCAUGGUUUAGGACCAUGUUCCUUAAACGGAUUGAGGGUUCAAGUCCCUCCUCGCCCA
rnacentral:tRNA from 1 species